CUGUAUAUAGCAAGCCAUAGAGUCCUUCCUUUGGCAUGAAUGCCCCAUAAUCCACUCUCUCCAUUUUGUGCCCCAAGGGCCAAGAAUUCUUCACAAGCCAAUACUUAGUCCAUCACUACUAAUCUUGUAUCCAGCUGAGGUAACACCAUGGUCUAAGGCAAUAAUGAUGAACACACUACUAGCAUUGACUACAGAAACUGGCUGGUCCGCAAUGGCACAUACGUACCCGUUUAGGAAACUGUUUGGAAUGCAGACUUCUGAGUGUUGAUCCAUUGCGUUGGAUCAAUUGGAAAGCACUGUCCAAUUAGACCACCUUGACGGCCAUGAUUUUCACCUCAUUGAAGUCCACUUUAUCUUUGAAUAUCAUGUAUCGCCUCUCCUUCUUUUCUGCAUCCUAAUAUACGUACCUGCUGGAAUCGGGCCGUCCCGUUCUGGUGCCUCUUCAGCAUGGUUUGGUCUUCAAGUUGGGGGGAAAAUACUUGGGUGGAGCAAAUGGCAUGGCAUGGCAUGGCGAAGUUAAAGAGAGGCUGAGAAGAGGUGUUGGCCUUUGUAGGUUUGUGAGAGCCAUGGAAUAUCAUUAAGCACGAAUAAUUAAAGGUAUGUUUAUCUUUUGAUAUUUGGGUGCAAAUUUUUGGUCUUCAAGUUGGGGGGAAAAUGCUUGGGUGGAGCAAAUGGCAUGGCAUGGCAUGGCGAAGUUAAAGAAAGGCUGAGAAGAGGUGUUGGCCUUUGUAGGUUUGUGAGAGCCUUGGAAUAUCAUUAAGCACGAAUAAUUAAAGGUAUGUUUAUCUUUUGAUAUUUGGGUGCAAAUGUUUGGUCUUCAAGUUGGGGGGAAAAUGCUUGGGUGGAGCAAAUGGCAUGGCAUGGCGAAGUUAAAGAAAGGCUGAGAAGAGGUGUUGGCCCUUGUAGGUUUGUGAGAGCCAUGGAAUAUCAUUAAGCACGAAUAAUUAAAGUGCUUGAUGAAGACCUGCCUUUCUACGUGCCUACAGUGAUUUUCCGACUUAAACCCAGAUUUGCGGAAGGAGAAAGAUGACAAUGAGCCACACCAUCUAUCCAUAAUACUUGGUCUAUCUCAAAGGUGUAAUGCAUUGUUUAUUCAAUUGUGAUUAACAAAUUUUUAUCUUGCACUUUCAUAAUUGGGAUCAUU